rnacentral:rRNA from 1 species
CCGCGGCAAGACGGAAAGACCCCGUGAACCUUUACUAUAGCUUGACACUGAACAUUGAGCCUUGAUGUGUAGGAUAGGUGGGAGGCUUUGAAGUGUGGACGCCAGUCUGCAUGGAGCCGGCCUUGAAAUACCACCCUUUAAUGUUUGAUGUUCUAACGUGGACCCGUGAUCCGGGUUGCGGACAGUGUCUGGUGGGUAGUUUGACUGGGGCGGUCUCCUCCUAAAGAGUAACGGAGGAGCACGAAGGUUGGCUAAUCCUGGUCGGACAUCAGGAGGUUAGUGCAAUGGCAUAAGCCAGCUUGACUGCGAGCGUGACGGCGCGAGCAGGUGCGAAAGCAGGUCAUAGUGAUCCGGUGGUUCUGAAUGGAAGGGCCAUCGCUCAACGGAUAAAAGGUACUCCGGGGAUAACAGGCUGAUACCGCCCAAGAGUUCAUAUCGACGGCGGUGUUUGGCACCUCGAUGUCGGCUCAUCACAUCCUGGGGCUGAAGUAGGUCCCAAGGGUAUGGCUGUUCGCCAUUUAAAGUGGUACGCGAGCUGGGUUUAGAACGUCGUGAGACAGUUCGGUCCCUAUCUGCCGUGGGCGCUGGAGAACUGAGGGGGGCUGCUCCUAGUACGAGAGGACCGGAGUGGACGCAUCACUGGUGUUCGGGUUGUCAUGCCAAUGGCACUGCCCGGUAGCUAAAUGCGGAAGAGAUAAGUGCUGAAAGCAUCUAAGCACGAAACUUGCCCCGA